AUAGUCCGGAGUAUAAGACCUAGCAUUGUUCAAAUUCAUGAAGAAAGUCUCAAAUUCACUAUUUUGCAUUGGUUUAUCAAUGAAAUUAAAAUAGAGUAAAGGCACAGGGAUCCCAUUUCAAAUAAAAAGAAAAUCUACAAAACAAUUUAGUUCUCAUCGCAUUUAUAUCCUCUUGGAAGUAAGUAUUAUUAAGCGAUAUAUAAUUCGUAUAAAUUGUCAUUUAUACCAAUAAAUUUCACAUACUUUCAAUAAAAAAAUGAGAAGAAUAUUUGGGAUUUCUUGAUUUAUUGGUGUUAUUAAAUUUUUACAAGAGCAUGAAAAUGUUUAAUAAUGAUAUUGUAUCACCUGUCGUCUUCA